CUACGGGACGCUGCAGUGAGGAAUAUUGCACAAUGGGGGGAACCCUGAUGCAGCAACGCCGCGUGGAGGAUGACGCAUUUCGGUGUGUAAACUCCUUUUAUAUGACAAGAAAAUGACGGUAGCAUAUGAAUAAGCACCGGCUAACUCCGUGCCAGCAGCCGCGGUAAUACGGAGGGUGCAAGCGUUACUCGGAAUCACUGGGCGUAAAGGACGCGUAGGCGGGUUGGAAAGUCAGGUGUGAAAUCCUACAGCUUAACUGUAGAACUGCACUUGAAACUUCUAAUCUAGAGUAUGGGAGGGGGAAAUGGAAUUAGUGGUGUAGGGGUAAAAUCCGUAGAUAUCACUAGGAAUACCUAAAGCGAAGGCGAUCUCCUGGAACAUUACUGACGCUAAGGCGUGAAAGCGUGGGGAGCAAACAGGAUUAGAUACCCGUGUAGUC
rnacentral:rRNA from 1 species